rnacentral:rRNA from 1 species
GCACCGCAUGGUGCAAUGUUGAAAGUUGGCUUUCUGAGCUAACACUGCAGGAUGGGCCCGCGGCGCAUUAGCUAGUUGGUAAGGUAAUGGCUUACCAAGGCAACGAUGCGUAGCCGACCUGAGAGGGUGAUCGGCCACACUGGGACUGAGACACGGCCCAGACUCCUACGGGAGGCAGCAGUAGGGAAUCUUCCGCAAUGGACGAAAGUCUGACGGAGCAACGCCGCGUGAGUGACGAAGGCCUUCGGGUCGUAAAGCUCUGUUGUUAGGGAAGAACAAGUACCGUUCGAAUAGGGCGGUACCUUGACGGUACCUAACCAGAAAGCCACGGCUAACUACGUGCCAGCAGCCGCGGUAAUACGUAGGUGGCAAGCGUUGUCCGGAAUUAUUGGGCGUAAAGCGCGCGCAGGCGGUCUUUUAAGUCUGAUGUGAAAGCCCACGGCUCAACCGUGGAGGGUCAUUGGAAACUGGAGGACUUGAGUGCAGAAGAGGAGAGUGGAAUUCCACGUGUAGCGGUGAAAUGCGUAGAUAUGUGGAGGAACACCAGUGGCGAAGGCGGCUCUCUGGUCUGUAAUUGACGCUGAGGCGCGAAAGCGUGUGGAGCAAACAGGAUUAGAUACCCUGGUGGUCCACGCCGUAAACGAUGAGUGCUAGGUGUUGGGGGGGUUCCACCCUCAGUGCUGAAGUUAACACAUUAAGCACUCCGCCUGGGGAGUACGACCGCAAGGUUGAAACUCAAAGGAAUUGACGGGGGCCCGCACAAGCAGUGGAGCAUGUGGUUUAAUUCGAAGCAACGCGAA